AGUGAACGCUGGCGGUAGGCCUAACACAUGCAAGUCGAACGGCAGCACAGUAAGAGCUUGCUCUUACGGGUGGCGAGUGGCGGACGGGUGAGGAAUACAUCGGAAUCUACUUUUUCGUGGGGGAUAACGUAGGGAAACUUACUCUAAUACCGCAUACGACCUACGGGUGAAAGCAGGGGAUCUUCGGACCUUGCGCGAUUGAAUGAGCCGAUGUCGGAUUAGCUAGUUGGCGGGGUAAAGGCCCACCAAGGCGACGAUCCGUAGCUGGUCUGAGAGGAUGAUCAGCCACACUGGAACUGAGACACGGUCCAGACUCCUACGGGAGGCAGCAGUCGGGAAUAUUGGACAGUGGUCGCAAGCCUGAUCCAGCCAUACCGCGUGGGUGAAGAAGACCUUCGGGUUGUAAAGCCCUUUUGUUGGGAAAGAAAAGCAGCAGGUUAAUACCACGCUGUUCUGACGGUACCCAAAGAAUAAGCACCGGCUAACUUCGUG
rnacentral:rRNA from 1 species